rnacentral:rRNA from 1 species
AGUGAACGCUGGCGGUAGGCCUAACACAUGCAAGUCGAACGGCAGCACAGUAAGAGCUUGCUCUUACUGGUGGCGAGUGGCGGACGGGUGAGGAAUACAUCGGAAUCUACUUUUUCGUGGGGGAUAACGUAGGGAAACUUACGCUAAUACCGCAUACGACCUACGGGUGAAAGCAGGGGAUCUUCGGACCUUGCGCGAUUGAAUGAGCCGAUGUCGGAUUAGCUAGUUGGCGUGGUAAAGGCCCACCAAGGCGACGAUCCGUAGCUGGUCUGAGAGGAUGAUCAGCCACACUGGAACUGAGACACGGUCCAGACUCCUACGGGAGGCAGCAGUGGGGAAUAUUGGACAAUGGGCGCAAGCCUGAUCCAGCCAUACCGCGUGGGUGAAGAAGGCCUUCGGGUUGUAAAGCCCUUUUGUUGGGAAAGAAAAGCAGCAGGUUAAUACCCCGCUGUUCUGACGGUACCCAAAGAAUAAGCACCGGCUAACUUCGUG